CAGACAAAUCUUUUUUUUUUAUACAGACUACUGUUUUAUUUACAUAGAUCUCUGAUAAUUCUGCAGUUGUUCCUUUUUUUUAAAAUUGCAUUUUAGGUUUUGGGGUACAUGUGCAGAACAUGCAAGAUAGUUGCAUAGGUACACACAUGGUAGUGUGUUUUGCUGCCUUCUUCCCCUUCACCCACAUUUGGCUUUUCUCCCCAGGCUAUCACUCCUCUGCUCCCUCUUACCGCUGUCCCUCCCCUAUUCCCCCAAUAGUACCCAGUGUGUAGUACUCCCUUCCCUGUGUCCAUGUGUCCUCAUUUUUCAUCAUCCGCCUAUGAGUGAGAAUAUGCGGUAUUUCAUUUUCUGAUCUUGUGUCAGUUUGCUGAGAAUGAUGUUCUCCAGAUUCAUCCAUGUCCCUACAAAGGACACGAACUCACCAUUUUUGAUUGCUGCAUAAUAUUCCAUGGUGUAUAUGUGCCACAUUUUCCCCGUCCAGUCUAUCAUCAAUGGGCAUUUGGGUUGGCUCCAGGUCUUCGCUAUUGUAAACAGUGCUGCAAUGAACAUUCGUGUGCAUGUGUCCUUAUAGUAGAAUGAUUUAUAGUCCUUUGGAUACAUACCCAGUAAUGGGAUUGCUGGGUCAAAUGGAAUUUCUAUUUCUAAGGCCUUCAGGAAUCGCCACACUGUCUUCCACAAUGGUUGAACUAAUUUACACUCCCACCAACCGUGUAAGUGUUCUUAUUUCUCCACAUCCUCUCCAGCAUCUGUUGUCUCUAGAUUUUUUAAUGAUCACCAUUCUAACUGCCGUGAGAUGGUAUCUCAAUGUGGUUUUGAUUUGCAUCUCUCUAAUGACCAGUGAUGAUGAGUAUUUUUUCAUAUGUUUGUUGGCCUCAUGUAUGUCUUCUUUUGUAAAGUGUCUGUUCAUAUCCUUUGUUGGCCUCAUGUAUGUCUUCUUUUGUAAAGUGUCUGUUCAUAUCCUUUGCCCGCUUUUGAAUGGGCUUGUUUGUUUUUUUCUUGUAAAUCUGUUUUAAUUCUUUGUAAAUUCUGGAUAUCAGCCCUUUGUCAGAUGGGUACACUGCAAAAAUUUUUUUCCAUUCUGUUGGUUGCCGAUUCGCUCUAGACUGUUUCUUUUGCCGUGCAGAAGCUGUGGAGUUUGAUUAGGUCCCAUUUGUCUAUUUUGGCUUUUGUUGCCAAUGCUUUUGGUGUUUUGGUCAUGAAGUCCUUGCCUACUCCUAUGUCCUGAAUGGUUUUACCUAGAUUUUCUUCUAGGGUUUUUAGGGUGUUAGGUCUUAUGUUUAAGUCUUUAAUACAUCUGGAGUUAAUUUUAGUGAACGGUGUCAGGAAGGGGCCAGUUUCUGCUUUCUGCACAUAACUAGCCAGUUUUCCCAACACCAUUUAUUAAACAGGGAAUCCUUUUUGCCUCUGUUCUGUACCAUUGGUCUAUAUCUCUGUUUUGGCACCAGUACAAUGCUGUUUUGAUUACUGUAGCCUUGUAGUAUAGUUUGAAGUCCGGUAGUGUGAUGCCUCCCGCUGUAUUCUUUUUACAUAGAAUUGACUUGGCCAUGCGGGCUCACUUUUGGUUCCAUAUGAAGUUGAAGGUGGUUUUUCCCAGUUCUGUGAAGAAGGUCAUUGGUAGCUUGAUGGGGAUAGCGUUGAAUCUGUAAAUUACUUUGGGCAGUACGGCCAUUUUCACGAUAUUGAUUCUUCCUAACCAUGAACAUGGAAUGUUUCUCCAUCUAUUUGUGUCCUCUCUUAUUUCGUUGAGCAGUGGUUUGUAGUUCUCCUUCAAGAGGUCCUUUACAUUCCUUGUUAGUUGUAUUCCUAGGUAUUUUAUUCUCUUUGUAGCAAUUGUGAAUGACAGCUUGUUCUUGAUUUGGCUCUCCUUAAGUCUGUUAUUGGUGUAUAGGAAUGCUUGUGAUUUUUGCACAUCGAUUUUGUAUCCUAAGACUUUGCUGAAGUUGCUUAUCAGUUUCAGGAGAUUUUGGGCUGAGACGAUGGGGUCUUCUAGAUAUACUAUUAUGUUGUCUGCAAAUAGAGACAAUUUGGCUUCCUCCUUUCCUAUUUGAAUACCCUUUAUUUCUUUUUCUUGCCUGAUUGCUCUGGCUAGAACUUCCAGUACUAUAUUGAAUAGAAGUGGUGAGAGAGGGCAUCCUUGUCUAGUGCCAGAUUUCAAAGGGAAUGCUUCCAGUUUUUUCCCAUUCAGUAUGAUAUUGGUUGUUGGUUUGUCGUAAAUAGCUUUUAUUAUUUUGAGAUACGUUCUGUCA
rnacentral:lncRNA from 1 species